rnacentral:rRNA from 1 species
GAGUUUGAUCGUGGCUCAGAUUGAACGCUGGCGGCAGGCCUAACACAUGCAAGUCGAGCGGAUGAAGGGAGCUUGCUCCUGGAUUCAGCGGUGGACGGGUGAGUAAUGCCUAGGAAUCUGCCUGGUAGUGGGGAUAACGUCCGGAAACGGGCGCUAAUACCGCAUACGUCCUGAGGGAGAAAGUGGGGGAUCUUCGGACCUCACGCUAUCAGAUGAGCCUAGGUCGGAUUAGCUAGUUGGUGGGGUAAAGGCCUACCAAGGCGACGAUCCGUAACUGGUCUGAGAGGAUGAUCAGUCACACUGGAACUGAGACACGGUCCAGACUCCUACGGGAGGCAGCAGUGGGGAAUAUUGGACAAUGGGCGAAAGCCUGAUCCAGCCAUGCCGCGUGUGUGAAGAAGGUCUUCGAUUGUAAAGCACUUUAAGUUGGGAGGAAGGGCAGUAAGUUAAUACCUUGCUGUUUGACGUUACCAACAGAAUAAGCACCGGCUAACUCGUGCCAGCAGCAG